GGCCCCUUCGGGGGUACACGAGCAGCGAACGGGUGAGUAACGCGUGGGUAAUCUACCCAAAGGUGGAGGAUAGCCUCGGGAAACCGGGGGUAAUACUGCAUAUGCCCCGACUGACACAAGUCUAUCGGGGGAAAGGCGGGGAUCUUCGGACCUGUCGCCUUUGGAUGAGCCCGCGUCCGAUUAGCUAGUUGGUGAGGUAAUGGCUCACCAAGGCAUCGAACGGUAGCCGGCCUGAGAGGGUGAACGGCCACAUUGGGACUGAGACACGGCCCAGACUCCUACGGGAGGCAGCAGUGGGGAAUUUUGGGCAAUGGGCGCAAGCCUGACCCAGCGACGCCGCGUGGAGGAUGAAGGCCUUCGGGUUGUAAACUCCUGUCAGGUGGGAAGAAGUGCUUCACGGAUAAUACCCGUGAAGAAUUGACGGUACCACCAAAGGAAGCCCCGGCUAACUCCGUGCCAGCAGCCGCGGUAAUACGGAGGGGGCAAGCGUUAUUCGGAUUUACUGGGCGUAAAGCGCACGUAGGCGGCAGUGUAAGUCACAGGUGAAAUCCCUCGGCUCAACCGAGGAACCGCCUGCGAAACUGCAUUGCUUGAGUCCGGGAGGGGGGAGCGGAAUUCCCAGUGUAGCGGUGAAAUGCGUAGAUACUGGGAGGAACACCGGUGGCGAAGGCGGCUCCCUGGACCGGUACUGACGCUGAGGUGCGAAAGCG
rnacentral:rRNA from 1 species